rnacentral:lncRNA from 1 species
AUGCCGCCUCUCGGCGGACUGCCCUGCCUCCGCCCCUCUAUCCUCUUCCACCGGAGGAAAGUGAAGUCGGGGCUUCGUCCGAGUGCCGCCGGCGCCGGAGGAGGGCAGGCAGGGCAGCAGUUUCUAUUUCUCGGGCUCCCCGGAGGGCCAGUCUCCAGGGCGGUCCGUGUCUCCCUCCGCUCGCCCUCUCCCGCCUCCGGCCCCCCCUCCGCCCGCUCCUCGGCCGCUCCCCCCUCCCUCCCCUCCCGUCCCCUCCCCCCGGUGCCCGCGGUGGCGGCGGCGGCGGCGGCGGUGGCGGUGUGUCACGGCGCCAUUGCUCUGCCUCCAGCAGCUCUGCACCAUGUCAGGCAGGAGAAGGGGCUCCGGGUCCCAGAGGGGCAACAGCCGCCCGCGGCCCGAGGAAAGGAGAAAGGGGGAGAGGAGGAGGAGGGGGUGGGGGGUGUGAGGGGGUGGAGAAGAGGAAGGGAGGCAGCCGGGACAGGGUGUGGGAGGGGAGGAGAACCGCACAGUGGCAGCCACUGCCUCCUCCCUUCAGCCGCCUCAACUUUUUUUGUGCCGCUCCGAGAGGCGCCGGUCGUCCGGGCCCCCGCCCCGAUCCCUCUGGUCCAGCCCCCGAACCCAUUAGAGGGAGAAGUGCCGCAGAGUUGGGACUCCUCUCCCGGGAGCAGCCCUGCUCCUCACUCCGCCGGAGCAAACUUAGCGGGGCGGCCACCCCCACAGCCAUUUUACCCCGGGAACAGCAGAAGGGGUGGGAGGAGGGAGGAAAAAAAAGAAAAUAGGCAGCAGCGGUUCCCGCUGCUGAGGCUUCUCCUCCGCCACCCCCACCCCCACCUCCACCUCCAAACCUCUAAGUGCACCGGGACUCCGGGCAGCAGCACCAGCUGCUACUGCCGCUUCGCCCAUUCAACAGCCCCCGCUCCUCUUCUCCCCACCUACCAACUGCGGCUCAAGUACGCGCUGUCAGCUCUCGAUCCCCCCAGCCACACUGACCCCAGCGGGCCCCCGUCCGGGCAGCACCACUCCUGGCCGCCGCGGCAGUUCCUGCGCCCAGUCCCCCGCUCGCCCCGAUUUACUGCCACAAUCCACCAAAUAACAAGCUGUUGA